rnacentral:rRNA from 1 species
UACAGAGGUCCCGAGCGUUGUUCGGAUUCAUUGGGCGUAAAGGGUGCGUAGGCGGCGGGGCAAGUCUGAUGUGAAAUCCCGGGGCUCAACCCCGGAACUGCAUUGGAUACUGCCUUGCUUGAGUACUGGAGAGGGAACUGGAAUUCUCGGUGUAGCGGUGAAAUGCGUAGAUAUCGAGAGGAACACCUGCGGCGAAGGCGGGUUGCUGGGCUGACACUGACGCUGAUGCGCGAAAGCCAGGGGAGCGAACGGG